rnacentral:miRNA from 1 species
ACAGUGGUCUCUGGGAUUACG